UGACCUGUAUAAAUGGCGAUAAGUACAAUUCCGCUAACCGCUUCAUCUGGAUGAUUUUUUAUGUCUGUGAACAACUUUCUACCGGAAAUCUUGCUCUGAUGUAUUAUAAAGUUCUUUACUGGAAAAAAAUUUUAUUUAGUUGGUGGUCAAUAUUUUUCUAUUGAAAAUCUUGUCCAAAUUUCAAGAAUAAUACCUACAUAUUUUCUGAAAGAAAUUUUUUUUCUAGUUUGUGGGUAAGAUCGUUUGGUUUUCCAUGUAGUUUCCUUAAUUACGAAUAGUCCCGAAUUACGAAAAACCGGGAAAGAACGUAGAACAUACUGUAAAGCGUAUGGCAUUUGGGUUUUUUUUAUUUUUAUUUGGUUAAAAAUG